GCUUUCAACAUCCCCGUUCCGGGCGCUCAAGCGCGCCGGGACUGAAGGC
rnacentral:sRNA from 1 species